CGAGCCCAAGGUUCACUUUUAUAACUCACCCAAAUCAAUUAAUCCAUGUGCAUCUAUUCCAUAAUUUCAAUAAUUAUUAAAAUAAUAUCCAAGAAUUUUCAUACGAUAAUAUAAAACAAUCUCAAAAUUCCAACAUAGUCAACUUACUAAAAUAAUGGUCGAGACUCGUUAACAAGGUCGUUCUAGUACCCCUCGAACACGGAAACUACUUCGGAAUACUCACGGUCAACCGAGGGGUCAAACUACCCAACUCGAUCAAUCUGGCUCGCAG
rnacentral:lncRNA from 1 species